rnacentral:rRNA from 1 species
ACAUCCAAGGAAGGCAGCAGGCGCGCAAAUUACCCACUCUCAAAACGAGGAGGUAGUGAAGAGAAAUAACGAUGUUAGUCUUUUAUAGGCUGACAAUCGGAAUGGGAACACUGUAAACAGGUUAUCGAUUAACAAUUGGAGGGCAAGUCUGGUGCCAGCAGCCGCGGUAAUUCCAGCUCCAAUAAGGAAAACUAAAGUUGCUGUGUUUAAAAAGCUCGUAGUUGAAUUUCGGGUAUUUGUUGCUAGCUGGUCUUACUGGCCAUGUUGGUUAACAGAUCCUCAUUUGCUGGACGGCUGGCGAUGAUCUUUAUCGAUUGUCGUUAGUUGCCAGAACGUUUACUUUGAGAAAAUUAGAGUGCUAAAAGCAGGCUCACGCCUAUAUAUAUUGCAUGGAAUAAUGAAAUAAGAUCUCGAUUUUAUUUCGUUGGUUUUAGAAAUUGAGAUAAUGAUUAAUAGGAUCAGAGGGGGGCGUACGUACUGUGGUGUGAGAGGUGAAAUUCUUGGAUCGCCACAGGACGAACAGCAGCGAAGGCGUUCGCCAAGAAUGUUUUCAUUAAUCAAGAACGAAAGUUUGAGGUUCGAAGACGAUUAGAUACCGUCCUAGUUCAAACCAUAAACGUUGCCAACUGUCUUUUAGAUGCGGUUAUUUACAUGACUCAUCUGGCGGAUCUCGAGAAAUCUAAGUUUUUAGGUUCCGGGGGAAGUAUGGUUGCAAAGCUGAAACUUAAAAGAUUGACGGAAGG